ensembl:lncRNA
CAAUGCCAACGCUCCUUUAAUUGACGUUAGCUGAAUGCAAAUUAAUAAUAAGUGGUAUUUACGAGCGGUGGAAGGAAUCUCCCAUUGUUUCAUUUCUGAAUUUGCGCACGUUAACUGAUAUUAAAACCCUAUUUACAUCCCUUCUGUGCGCGGCCACGGAAGGGCGUGAUCGCUGUAGAUGCCGGUGGCGAGUUCCCGCCGGCACGAGAGCCCGAACAGGAUGUUCCGUCGGAGCGGCGGGUUCCCUCCUCGUUGCUCAUCGUUUCCUUCGCGUUGGCCGGGAAGCAGGUAACACUUUUAUCAACCGACGGUCUGCAUAAUCACUGCGAUAUUCAAAUCCACAUGAGAGCUGCAUGAGGAGAUUAAUAGUAUUGACAAAUCCUAAUUAGCGUCAUGCUGAAUCAAAUGAUUAAUGCGAACAGUUGUUAGGGAGGUAGUGUGUGUCUAAAUAGACCCAGAGGCUAGAUAAUACGCUAAUAGACUAUGACUCACACUAGCACUGUUUUAAUGAGAAAUAGACAGAAACAGGGAGUGACGAAGGGAGAAUGACAGCAGAACAGAGAAGGUAAGAAAAUGGAGGGUGAGAGAAAAAGACGGUGUUUUGCGUUGCUGCUGUUGUCUGCCUGCCUUCCUGCCACCUCGCCUGGCUCCCCGCAAUGUUUUUACACCUCGAGUUUUAAGCAGCGAUGGGAUUAGUUUUGUAGGAUUGUUGGCUUGCAUUGUGCGCUGAGAGGAUAGGCGGCGAAAUCCCUUUUUCAGCCACCGCUACUUAUCCAUGUCCCUGUGUUGUCUCUUUCAAACAGAAGCGCCUCGCUCUACACGCAUGUAAUCUAGGUGACAAGACGGGAUGAAAAGAGAAUUGAAUGCGUAUGAAGGGAGUGAAAAUGGGACGGCUGACAGACGGGAAGGAGGCAGCGAGGUGAGAGGAACGGAGUCGGGAGGAAAAGAGGUGGGGAGUGUGUCUGACUCCGCGGUGCUCAGGUAGCCCACUUUCCUUUGCCUUUAAAAAGCCGGUGCAGGCCCCAUAACACAGGCGCGGUGCAGUUAUGUCUGACAUCGCCGUGUGAAUAAUUCAUCCUCAACUCUGUGCGUGAAUUAUUGAUGACUGAAAGAAUACAGAUGGGGGGAGGUGGGGGCAGGAAAAACAGCAGUCUCGGGGGAUGGAGCAUGAUGCAAGAAGGAGAAAAUAAUUAUGAUUUCAUCAUUAUUUACAAUUUCUUUCCCGAUAUGAAAAAUGUGACAAUUAGAAUUAUUUCUAUUACUGUGCAUUUAAACUUACAGUGUUAUUCCUAUCUCGCAUUUUAACACAUAUAUACAUAUUUAUUGAACGGUUGGUUGGAUGUUUUGUUGGGUGUUUGGUUCGAAGGAUGGAUGGGUGGAUGUUUGUUUGGAUGGAUGAAUGGUUGGAUGGACGGGUGGAUGAAUGGUUGGAUAAAUAGAUGGGUGUUUGGUUGGAUGGGCAGAUGUUUGGUUGGAUAGAUGGAUGGCUGUAUGAUUGGAUAGAUCGAUGUAUGUAUGGUUGGAUGGAUGGAUGAAUGGUUGGAUGGAUCGAUGGAUGGUUGGAUAGAUCGAUGGAUGGUUGGAUGGAUGGAUGAAUGGAGGAUGAAUGCUUGGAUAGAUCGAUGUAUGUAUGGUUGGAUGGAUGGAUGGAUGAAUGGUUGGAUGGAUAGAUGGUUGUAUGAUUGGAUAGAUCAAUGUAUGUAUGGUUGGAUGGAUGGAUGAAUGGUUGGAUAGAUGGAUGGAUGAUUGGUUGAUUGGAUGGACGGAUGGUUGGAUAGAUGGUUGUAUGAUUGGAUAGAUCAAUGUAUGUAUGGUUGGAUGGAUGGAUGAAUGGUUGGAUAGAUGGAUGGAUGAUUGGUUGAUUGGAUGGACGGAUGGUUGGAUAGAUGGUUGUAUGAUUGGAUAGAUCGUUGUAUGUAUGGUUGGAUGGAUGGAUGAAUGGUUGGGUGGAUCGAUGGAUAGCUGGAUAGAUCGAUGGAUGGUUGGAUGGAUGGAUGAAUGGAGGAUGAAUGGUUGGAUAGAUCAAUGUAUGUAUGGUUGGAUGGAUGGAUGGAUGAAUGGUUGGAUGGAUAGAUGGUUGUAUGAUUGGAUAGAUCGAUGUAUGUAUGGUUGGAUGGAUGGAUGGAUGAAUGGUUGGAUAGAUCGAUGGAUGUAUGAUUGGAUAGAUCGAUGGAUGUAUGGUUGGAUGGAUGGAUGGAUGAAUGGAUGGAUGAUUGGUUGGAUGGAUGGUUGGCUAGAAGGGUGGCUGGUUGGGAGUAAUGGAACAAAGCGACCUCCCUCCCCCUCUAUCUCUUGUUAACUUUAUUAUCCCCCUUCUGCAGCACUCAGAAUGAUACUUGCGUGUCUUCCUGUGAGUGUAGCUGUGUGUGCGUGUGUGUGUGUGUGUGUGUGUGUGUGUGUGUGUGUGUGUGUGUGUGUGUGUGUGUGUGUGCGAGAUAGAGAGGGGAAUGUGUGGGCGACCUCACGAUGUCCCUAUAAACUAUUGGUUAUAAUAUUAAUAAUAAUGAGGACAGGGAGCUGCAGAGAGGACAGUUUUGUGGGUCAACUCGGAAGUGAACCAAUCGGAUUCAUCCAUUGGAUUUGGAAUAUUUGCAGAAAACAGAAAAUGUGAGAAGUUUGCCUUCAGGCAGAACUGAGGCACUAUUCCUCCCUCCAGCAGCAAUUCCUUCAGCACGCAUUAGAAUGCAGCCCUCGAGGCCUAUUCAUGGAUUUUAUUUAAAAAGGAGACGCUCACUUUAUUUGUCUUUGUUGUCCUCCUUGUUUCUCCUUCAGUUCCACAAGCAUUUUCCUUGGAGAUAUGAGGAGGAGUGUCUUAUUUUUCCAUUCAUGCACGUUAGGAGUUGCUCGUCCAAACAAAGUAAGCAGCUGUGCAGGUUUCUUUGGACUGGGAUCAGUGUAAUCCCACCAAAUCAGGCUUUGAUCCAACCGGAUCGAAUCGCAGAAGACAGAAGUCGUCCAAAACAAAAGUACUUAGCACGUAACUAAUCUCCGCCUGGAGGCAAACAAAACCAAGUCUCCGACACUAACAACACUUGACGCACAGACCGCGAACCGACGAGAUCAGGGGACACACCUGGUGUAAAUGCGCUGGUCCAGGUGACUGGACGCAGCAGGAGGCAAUCAGGGACACUCACAGGAGAAAACACACCAGGGCAGGAAGUGAAGUUUCACCCAGAGACACAAGAGGCAGGAAACUACAAAAUAAAACCCACACCGUGACAACGUUGCAUGGUGACAUGUGUUCAAUUUGUUGUUAAUAUCUCGGGUAAGUCAAUAAAACCUACGUCCUCCACAUCAGACUCGGCUUUCAUUCGUUUGGUGAGGUUAAAAAAAGGAAAAAUAGUAUUUUUUUCACGCGCCGACCUCAUUGAACUUGGAUCGGGCCGAGCUGCUCCUCUGGUACCUCUCACGUUGGCCACAUUUCUGACGAUCUUAUUAUUAUUUUUCCACCAGGAAGCCCGUCCGAAAACACAGUCGAGAAAAUGUAUUAGAAUAUUAUUUAUACAUCUAAAACUUUUUCAGUCCUGGUCCU